CUCGGAUGUCCCAAACAAAAAAAGGACAAGGAAAGAAUGCCAAAAACACCGUACACAGAAGAUUUUCAAAUAUGAAGAGAUAGUAGACAGGAGAGUUGUAAAUGUAAAAGAAGUUAAAGUCAAGUGGAAGCCCUGCUUAACAUGGUAUGUAGUAACAACGGGAACAGACAUUCAUAUUGUUGAUAAAUAGUUAUCACCUCAAUUUGAAUUCAUGUAUUUGGACUAAAGUAAAUUGAGAGCUUUUAGCAAUCAAGCUGCUCUUCUGUGAGGAGCUUGAUAGCAGUCCACCUCCAAAGUCCAUUAUGAGAUUUGGAGGUGGACAUGGUCAACACUUUUAAGAGUAGGCAUAAGACUUUACUUCUUUAUAGAGCUUAUAGUUAGGGCUGGUUCAGGUCAGCCCUUAGUUAUGCUGUCAUAGGACCAGACUGCUGGGGGUUAGUCCCCCCUCCC